UAGCCGUAAACGAUACUCGCUAGGUGUCGGCCACGGUGCGACCGUUGUCGGUGCCGUAGGGAAGCCGUGAAGCGAGCCACCUGGGAAGUACGGCCGCAAGGCUGAAACUUAAAGGAAUUGGCGGGGGAGCACAACAACGGGUGGAGCUUGCGGUUUAAUUGGAUUCAACGCCGGAAAUCUUACCGGGACCGACAGCAACAUGAAGGCCGAAGCUGAAGACUUUGCCGGAUUAGCUGAGAGGUGGUGCAUGGCGUAGUCGUGU
rnacentral:rRNA from 1 species